GGAAGUCAUACCUGAAAGUAUUCUUCAAAUAUUUCAAGCCAAUCAACAACAGCUCAACCAUGGCUUUUUGCUAAGAUCAGGUUGAUCUCAAGAACAGAGAUGUGAAUGAAGAAAGCUACCCAAUGACACCAUUGGAAAAUUGUGCCAAAACGUAAACACUGAACUUAGGCAUUGAAAGUCCAGAGUUCCAAGAGUGGCAACAAUCGACGGCUUGAUUAAUCCAGUAUUAUCCCUUUUCUGAUGGAAUCUCUCACAAGGGAUGACUAGUCCCACUAGAACGUGUUAUCCCACAUGUGUAGGAUAAAAUUACACCAUCCAGGGGCACAAGGAAAUUUUUUGAAGGACGGCAAUAUGAAGCCUGACACGUAAUUUUUUUCUACCUGGCCCUCAAUAAGGACAUUUGUUUUUCUUCAAGAGACCCAAGAACCUUACUUCUCCUUCCAGACACAACCUGCACUUGAGCAGGUAGCGAGCCUGAAGUAUGCUGCGGCUUCUUUGUAUCAACAUCAGGAAAGACUAGAUGGUUUCUUUUUGGAGUUCCAAUUUUAGGAAUUAUAUUAUGGUCCCUAGACAAAGAAGUGCUUGGCAGUUUACAAGUGAAUCACUAAAUGAGCAAAAACUCAAGCAGUAAGUUCAAAGAAACUUACAUGCAAUAAAUCAAGACACGAUUGUGCAAAAGAUUUUCCCAAGCCCGUUGAUAAAUCUUUCUUUCUUUGUCACUUUCAAA